rnacentral:rRNA from 1 species
UACGUAGGGUGCAAGCGUUGUCCGGAAUUAUUGGGCGUAAAGGGCUCGUAGGCGGUCCAUCGCGUCGGGAGUGAAAAGCUGGGGCUUAACCCCAGUCCUGCUUCCGAUACGGGUGGACUAGAGGUAGGUAGGGGGAGAUCGGAAUUCCUGGUGUAGCGGUGAAAUGCGCAGAUAUCAGGAGGAACACCGGUGGCGAAGGCGGUCUGCUGGGCAGUUGCUGACACUGAGGCGCGACAGCGUGGGGAGCAAACAGG